rnacentral:rRNA from 1 species
UUUAUUUGAGAGUUUGAUCCUGGCUCAGGAUGAACGCUGGCGGCGUGCCUAACACAUGCAAGUUGAGCGAUUUACUUCGGUAAAGAGCGGCGGACGGGGGAGUAACGCGUGGGUAACCUACCCUGUACACACGGAUAACAUACCGAAAGGUAUGCUAAUACGGGAUAAUAUAUUUGAGAGGCAUCUCUUGAAUAUCAAAGGUGAGCCAGUACAGGAUGGACCCGCGUCUGAUUAGCUAGUUGGUAAGGUAACGGCUUACCAAGGCGACGAUCAGUAGCCGACCUGAGAGGGUGAUCGGCCACAUUGGAACUGAGACA